rnacentral:lncRNA from 1 species
ACACAGGGACAAUGUGGCCCGGAUGCCGAUGACCAACAUUCCUCGAGUAGAAAGCCCUUUGGAAAAGGUAACAUCUGUGCAGAACCACAUCACUGCCUUUGCAGAAGUCACAUGAUAUUGAAGCGGACGGUUUUUCCCUGCACUGGACGUCAUCCCUUUUUACCAUACAUUCAUAACAAAGUUUAUUUGAUUACACGGGAAAUUUAUAAAGUUGUCUGGGACUUUUUAUAAUUUUAAAACUUGAUAAUGCCCUCUCUGCCCCCCUCCCACUAGACUGUGAACUCCUCUGGAGCAGGACCGUGGCUUUCUUUUCUGUAUCCCCACCACCCACGACAAAGCCCAGCACCAAGUGUGGGUGUUCAGUAAAAACACGACAACAAAAUGAACAAGUCAAUUCUUAAAUAAAACGGUUGCUUUAGUUUCUC